rnacentral:rRNA from 1 species
AGAGUUUGAUCCUGGCUCAGAACGAACGCUGGCGGCAUGCUUAACACAUGCAAGUCGAACGCAAGGCUUCGGCCUUGAGUGGCGCACGGGUGAGUAGCGCGUGGGAACCUGCCCUCUUGUGCGGAAUAACCGAGGGAAACUUCGGCUAAUACCGCAUACGCCGGGAGACCGGGAAAGAUUUAUCGCAGGAGGAGGGGCCC